rnacentral:tRNA from 1 species
UCUAAUAUGGCAGAAAUUCCAUGCAAUGAACUUAAAAUUCAUUUAUAAAGAUUAAUCUUUUUUUAGAA